rnacentral:rRNA from 1 species
ACUUAAAUUGAAGAGUUUGAUCAUGGCUCAGAUUGAACGCUGGCGGCAGGCCUAACACAUGCAAGUCGAGCGGCAGCGGGAAAGUAGCUUGCUACUUUUGCCGGCGAGCGGCGGACGGGUGAGUAAUGCCUGGGAAAUUGCCCAGUCGAGGGGGAUAACAGUUGGAAACGACUGCUAAUACCGCAU